UGGAGUGAUUUGUCUGAUUAAUUCCGUUAACGAACGAGACCACCGCCUACUAAAUAGUACAUAUUUUCGCGAGAAAGUAUGAGACUUCUUAGAGGGACAUUUCGGGUUUACCGGAAGGAAGUUGGUGGCAAUAACAGGUCUGUGAUGCCCUUAGAUGUUCUGGGCCGCACGCGCGCUACAAUGACUGGUUCAACGAGUUUUUUCUUCGGAAAUGUCCUUAUCCGGAAGGAUCGGGUAAUCUUUUAAAUGCCAGUCGUGAUGGGGCUUGCGUUUUGCAAUUAUUAAUCUCCAACGAGGAACC
rnacentral:rRNA from 1 species